rnacentral:rRNA from 1 species
GUGAGGAAUAUUUCGCAAUGGAGGCAACUCUGACGCAGCCAUGCCGCGUGCAGGAAGAAGGCGCUACGCGUUGUAAACUGCUUUUAACCAGGAAGAAACCCCAGGACGUGUCCUGGGUUGACGGUACCGGAGGAAUAAGCACCGGCUAACUUCGUGCCAGCAGCCGCGGUAAUACGAACGGUGCAAGCGUUAUCCGGAUUCAUUGGGUUUAAAGGGUGCGUAGGCGGAGCGUUAAGUCAGUGGUGAAAUCCUGCAGCUUAACUGUAGACUUGCCAUUGAUACUGGCGCUCUUGAGUGCGCUUGAAGUGGGCGGAAUGUGCCGUGUAGCGGUGAAAGGAUUAAACAUGGCACAGAACACCAAUAGCGAAGGCAGCUCACUAAGGCGAUAAUGACGCGGAGGCACGAAAGCGUGAGGAUCGAACAGGAUUAGAUACCCGAGUAGUCC